rnacentral:rRNA from 1 species
UACGGAGGAUGCAAGCGUUAUCCGGAUUUAUUGGGUUUAAAGGGUGCGCAGGUUGUUUGAUAAGUCAGUGGUGAAAGUCUGUCGCUUAACGGUAGGAUUGCCAUUGAUACUGUUAGACUUGAAUAUGGAUGAGGUAGGCGGAAUGUGUAGUGUAGCGGUGAAAUGCAUAGAUAUUACACAGAACACCGAUUGCGAAGGCAGCUUACUAAUCCAUCAUUGACGCUGAGGCACGAAAGCGUGGUGAUCAAA